CUGGGAAGUGUCAGCCCUUGCAAGUGGUAUAAGUGGGAUCGGAGUAGGGAAAUAAGUUUUUAAGGAAAAGAAAAAGUCAAAUACCUCUUUGUCCCAUGAGGGUAAAUGACAUGAAUCUUUUCAGGGGGAGAAAAUGACUUUUUUAAAGUGCCCAAAUGCUGAAGAGCCAUCUCUGCAGAGAGGAACGUUUGCUGUCAGAUCUCUUCCAGAGUUCUUUGUCCUUCGUCCCUCUUCCUCUAAAUGUAAACUCUAUUCGUCUUUUCCAGUCUUGGAUCUUCACACUCCUUUGAUACCAGGGAAUGAAAAUUGUUAGUGAACGGCCGGGCAGGGAUGUUGGGAGCAGGACAAGUACCAGGUGCCCAGCGCUCCAUUUUGCUCCCACCUACUGGCCUGGCUCCUCCGUGCUCAAUCUCCAGAUUGCUUUGUCACAGCUCCAGGGAAUGGGGGGGGGGGGGAGAACAGGAGACCCCUUCCCUGGAGGAAAGUCCUCCAGGUGAGUCCCUCUGUCCCAAGUUGGUCAGAACAGCUCUGAGAAUACCGCCGAUGCCACAGACUAGGAGGGAAGAAGUUCCGAUCCUCAGGGCUGAGAUUCCGGCACGACGUCUGCCCCCACUAGCUAAAUCUGCCUGCGCGCCGGGCCCGAGAUGAGCCUCUGCGGAAAGGAACCCCGGAGUCCCGAGUCGGAAUUUGGGCUGUUGGAGGCCGCCGGGCUUCGGGAGUGGGGGAGAUACCUGCGAAUCGGUCAAGUCACCACUAGGCGGCGCGUCGGACCCGAGUAGCGAGGAGCAGUCGGCGAGGUCCUGCAGGUCUAUGGUGGUGAGGGCUGCGCGGUGAGAACCGGGGACACGCACGAGGCGGGCCCUGAGUCUCUCCGCCAGAGCUCGCCACUGGCCUCCCGUCAGGACAUUGGAGCCCGGGGAGAAAAAGUUCAUCUGAGCCGCGUGUGCGCUACCCACCCGGCGCGGGGAACCCGAGGGAUCGCGCGGGAGCCGCCAGGCUCACCUGGCAGCGCCGCGGACUCCGCGUCCCGGGGAUCUUCGUAUAUCGACACUGGGCUGCUGCCGCUGCAACCAGGAAAGAACUUCCGCGGAGGGGCGAACUAGCCGGACACAAAAACCGUGAGCAUGGGUCAGCCCUCGGGCCCCGGAGCGUGCGGACCCUGCCUGGCACCGGCCCGCGGCCCCACCUUCCUCUCCAGCUUCCCGGGCUUGACGAAAGGCCGGCCCCCCAGCUCCAGCAUCCUGUUGGGGCAGAUGCGGUCGAAUGCUCGGCGUCCCGCCGGGGCGCCUCCGCACGACUGCAUCCUGCCUCCCUGCCGGCUUCGGCCCAGGAACGCGGUGCUGGUUCUGCGGCGGCGGUGGCCGCGGCCGGAAUAGCGACCCACAGUCAGGGCCCCGCCUGGCGCCUGCAGGGCCGUACGGCACGAAAUAAACGCAGAGUGACACUCGUCAAAGCCUGAGUCCGGCAUUUGACCGCCCUGUAGGAUUUGGUGCGGUUGUAGAAUUCUAUUGGGGACUGCCGCAGAACUGCCGCAGAACUGCCCCCAGAUUACAGAAGACCCUUAAGCAAGGCUGGGGUGACUCACGACUUGCCCUUGGUUUCUCUUUGCCUGAUGCCUAGAAGCGCUCCCCGUACCCCUAGCCCCGCACUUUCCCGGGCAGCGACUCCUGCGUGUAGCCUUUAAAAGAGAGUCAGUUAAGAAAAAGCGACAUCUACAAAUGCUCCUCCCCUUUCGGAAAACGCCUCACUGCACGGUCCCAAAUCCCCUAAGACCCCAGUCUCUUUCUCCCCCGAAAGCCUCAUUUGGCCACCGCAGCAUUUGGCCACUCUGUACACAGCUGGCCUUGGUCGCUCUGAGGAAGUCUGGGCUGCCCUUCCCAAGACCAGGGCCUCUCCCAAGAAGGAGCAUCUCUAAAUCCCUGGGUGAGGGGAUCCCUCAGACCACUCUUAGAUAUAGCCAAUUUGAAUAGUCAUCUGAAAUUACCUUGGUAACUUCCUUUUGGUCACCUUGUUUGUGUCAUAUACCAAGUAGUGGUAAUGAAAAUCCUCUUUUAAAGUGGUACGAUCCCUUUUUAUUUCUCCCUGUUAUCUGGAUUAAUAAAGGCACCCCUUAACAGUG